rnacentral:rRNA from 1 species
GACGAACGCUGGCGGCGUGCUUAACACAUGCAAGUCGAACGGAAAGGCCCUGCUUUUGUGGGGUGCUCGAGUGGCGAACGGGUGAGUAACACGUGAGUAACCUGCCCUUGACUUUGGGAUAACUUCAGGAAACUGGGGCUAAUACCGGAUAGGAGCUCCUGCUGCAUGGUGGGGGUUGGAAAGUUUCGGCGGUUGGGGAUGGACUCGCGGCUUAUCAGCUUGUUGGUGGGGUAGUGGCUUACCAAGGCUUUGACGGGUAGCCGGCCUGGGAGGGUGACCGGCCACAUUGGGACUGAGGUACGGCCCAGACUCCUACGGGAGGCAGCAGUGGGGAAUAUUGCACAAUGGGCGGAAGCCUGAUGCAGCAACGCCGCGUGCGGGAUGCCGGCCUUCGGGUUGUAAACCGCUUUCGCCUGUGACGAAGCGUGAGUGACGGUAAUGGGUAAAGAAGCACCGGCUAACUACGUG